UUGGAGGGCAAGUCUGGUGCCAGCAGCCGCGGUAAUUCCAGCUCCAAUAGCGUAUAUUAAAGUUGUUGCAGUUAAAAAGCUCGUAGUUGAAUUUCGAGAUCAGUACGCUGGUCGUGCCUUCGGUAUGCACUGGUGUCACUGGUUUCUCCCUUCUGAAGAACCGUCAUGUCAUUAAGUUGGUGUGGCGGGGAAUCAGGACUGUUACUUUGAAAAAAUUAGAGUGUUUAAAGCAGGCUCGCGCUUGAAUACAUUAGCAUGGAAUAAUGAAAUAGGACGUUUGACCCUAUUUUGUUGGUUUCUAGGAUCGACGUAAUGAUUAAUAGGGAUAGUUGGGGGCAUUAGUAUUCAAUUGUCAGGGGUGAAAUUCUUGGAUUUAUUGAAGACUAACUACUGCGAAAGCAUUUGCCAAGGAUGUUUUCAUUAAUCAAGAACGAAAGUUAGGGGAUCGAAGACGAUCAGAUACCGUCGUAGUCUUAACCAUAAACUAUGCCGACUAGGGAUCGGAUGAUGUUAAUUUUUUAAUGACUCAUUCGGCGCCUUACGGGAAAC
rnacentral:rRNA from 1 species